ACUUAAAUUGAAGAGUUUGAUCAUGGCUCAGAUUGAACGCUGGCGGCAGGCCUAACACAUGCAAGUCGAGCGGUAGCACAGAGAGCUUGCUCUCGGGUGACGAGCGGCGGACGGGUGAGUAAUGUCUGGGAAACUGCCUGAUGGAGGGGGAUAACUACUGGAAACGGUAGCUAAUACCGCAUAAUGUCGCAAGACCAAAGUGGGGGACCUUCGGGCCUCAUGCCAUCAGAUGUGCCCAGAUGGGAUUAGCUAGUAGGUGGGGUAAUGGCUCACCUAGGCGACGAUCCCUAGCUGGUCUGAGAGGAUGACCAGCCACACUGGAACUGAGACACGGUCCAGACUCCUACGGGAGGCAGCAGUGGGGAAUAUUGCACAAUGGGCGCAAGCCUGAUGCAGCCAUGCCGCGUGUGUGAAGAAGGCCUUCGGGUUGUAAAGCACUUUCAGCGGGGAGGAAGGCGGUGAGGUUAAUAACCUCAUCGAUUGACGUUACCCGCAGAAGAAGCACCGGCUAACUCCGUGCCAGCAGCCGCGGUAAUACGGAGGGUGCAAGCGUUAAUCGGAAUUACUGGGCGUAAAGCGCACGCAGGCGGUCUGUCAAGUCGGAUGUGAAAUCCCCGGGCUCAACCUGGGAACUGCAUUCGAAACUGGCAGGCUAGAGUCUUGUAGAGGGGGGUAGAAUUCCAGGUGUAGCGGUGAAAUGCGUAGAGAUCUGGAGGAAUACCGGUGGCGAAGGCGGCCCCCUGGACAAAGACUGACGCUCAGGUGCGAAAGCGUGGGGAGCAAACAGGAUUAGAUACCCUGGUAGUCCACGCCGUAAACGAUGUCGAUUUGGAGGUUGUGCCCUUGAGGCGUGGCUUCCGGAGCUAACGCGUUAAAUCGACCGCCUGGGGAGUACGGCCGCAAGGUUAAAACUCAAAUGAAUUGACGGGGGCCCGCACAAGCGGUGGAGCAUGUGGUUUAAUUCGAUGCAACGCGAAGAACCUUACCUGGUCUUGACAUCCACAGAGCUUAGCAGAGAUGCUUUGGUGCCUUCGGGAACUGUGAGACAGGUGCUGCAUGGCUGUCGUCAGCUCGUGUUGUGAAAUGUUGGGUUAAGUCCCGCAACGAGCGCAACCCUUAUCCUUUGUUGCCAGCGGUUAGGCCGGGAACUCAAAGGAGACUGCCAGUGAUAAACUGGAGGAAGGUGGGGAUGACGUCAAGUCAUCAUGGCCCUUACGACCAGGGCUACACACGUGCUACAAUGGCAUAUACAAAGAGAAGCGACCUCGCGAGAGCAAGCGGACCUCAUAAAGUAUGUCGUAGUCCGGAUUGGAGUCUGCAACUCGACUCCAUGAAGUCGGAAUCGCUAGUAAUCGUAGAUCAGAAUGCUACGGUGAAUACGUUCCCGGGCCUUGUACACACCGCCCGUCACACCAUGGGAGUGGGUUGCAAAAGAAGUAGGUAGCUUAACCUUCGGGAGGGCGCUUACCACUUUGUGAUUCAUGACUGGGGUGAAGUCGUAACAAGGUAACCGUAGGGGAACCUGCGGUUGGAUCACCUCCUUACCUUAAAGAA
rnacentral:rRNA from 1 species